rnacentral:rRNA from 1 species
GACGAACGCUGGCGGCGUGCUUAACACAUGCAAGUCGAACGGAAAGGCCCUGCUUUUGUGGGGUGCUCGAGUGGCGAACGGGUGAGUAACACGUGAGUAACCUGCCCUUGACUUUGGGAUAACUUCAGGAAACUGGGGCUAAUACCGGAUAGGAGCUCCUGCUGCAUGGUGGGGGUUGGAAAGUUUCGGCGGUUGGGGAUGGACUCGCGGCUUAUCAGCUUGUUGGUGGGGUAGUGGCUUACCAAGGCUUUGACGGGUAGCCGGCCUGAGAGGGUGACCGGCAACAUUGGGACUGAGAUACGGCCCAGACUCGUACGGGAGGCAGCAGUGGGAAAUGUUGCACAAUGGGCGGGAGCCUGAUGCAGCAACGCCGCGUUCGGGAUGACGGCCUUCGGGUUGUAAACCGCUUUCGCCUGUGACGAAGCGUGCGUGACGGUAAUGGGUAAAGAAGCACCGGCUAACUACGUG